rnacentral:rRNA from 1 species
GUGCCAGCCGCCGCGGUAAUACCGGCAGCACGAGUGAUGGCCGAUUUUAUUGGGCCUAAAGCGUUCGUAGCCGGCCGGACAAGUCCGUCGGGAAAUCCACUCGCCCAACGAGUGGGCGUCCGACAGAAACUGCACAGCUUGGGACCGGAAGGCUCGAAGGGUACGUUCGGGGUAGGAGUGAAAUCCCAUAAUCCCGCACGGACCACCGAUGGCGAAAGCACUUCGAGAAAACGGAUCCGACAGUGAGGGACGAAAGCCAGGGUCUCCAACCGGAUUAGAAACCCCUGUAGUCC